rnacentral:rRNA from 1 species
UAGGGAAUCUUCGGCAAUGGGGGCAACCCUGACCGAGCAACGCCGCGUGAGUGAAGAAGGUUUUCGGAUCGUAAAGCUCUGUUGUAAGUCAAGAACGAGUGUGAGAGUGGAAAGUUCACACUGUGACGGUAGCUUACCAGAAAGGGACGGCUAACUACGUGCCAGCAGCCGCGGUAAUACGUAGGUCCCGAGCGUUGUCCGGAUUUAUUGGGCGUAAAGCGAGCGCAGGCGGUUUGAUAAGUCUGAAGUUAAAGGCUGUGGCUCAACCAUAGUUCGCUUUGGAAACUGUCAAACUUGAGUGCAGAAGGGGAGAGUGGAAUUCCAUGUGUAGCGGUGAAAUGCGUAGAUAUAUGGAGGAACACCGGUGGCGAAAGCGGUUCUCUGGUCUGUAACUGACGCUGAGGCUCGAAAGCGUGGGGAGCGAACAGGAUUAGAUACCCUGGUAGUCCACGCCGUAAACGAUGAGUGCUAGGUGUUGGAUCCUUUCCGGGAUUCAGUGCCGCAGCUAACGCAUUAAGCACUCCGCCUGGGGAGUACGACCGCAAGGUUG